GUAAACCAAGGGAUUAUAUAGAGCAACACCUUAGACUUCAGAUUUCAAAUAGCAGAAAACUCUUUAACUCUGUUUCCUGCAGAGUUAGAAACAUCAAAGCUUAUUCCAGCAAGCAACUGGAAAGGAACUAAUGAUUGUGAGAAAGUGUUCAUCUUUAGAUCUUGAAAUCAAUGUCCCUAAUUUCUUGCUGGAGAUUAGACAAGAGUAAAACAAUAUGUUUAGUCUCAAAGCUUCUCUAAGAACCAACUAACAAGGAAAUGUUUUAAUGAAAAUCCAUACAGUGCUGAUUAUACUGUCAAUAAUAAUGAAAAUGUUUCUGUUGGUCUUCAGGGAAGUGGGUUAGAUAUUGCAGCAUCUUGACAUAGAAGUUGCCAGCUAAGUGCAUUUUUUUUCUGGAGACCUGUCAAAAUCUAACACGACAGUAUGUUCCUUCUGCGUGAGAUGAAAUAGCUACACUGCCAGUUAGAAUAUGUCAACAUGGUAAAUUUUCGCCUCUCUGGAAGUGGGCAGCUUGAUGAUUGCAGCCUGACUGUGACACCAAGGAACAUUACUGUCGGCUCUGCUACCUGAGACCAGAGAGGAAAUACAAAGCAGGAGUCUCCAGAUCUAUUAUAGCUGCCUCUCACUUGACAACAGUUCAGUUUUAUCCAGCUGGACGUACCUUCUUACAUAAGGGCUGCUCCACCUUCCUCUGUCCUCUUCAUAUGAUGCCCUCACUAUCAUACAUCAUCCUAACUGUGAUGAGGAAAUGGGAAUCUCUAGAAGUUAUUUAACCUCUUUUAGACUUUUUUUUUUUCCUUUGGAUAAGCAAAAACAAUUUUUCAGAUGUCUUCUCCACUGGUCAAUGGAAGCAAGAAAGAUUCUUUUUUCGAUGAGGCAUGUUGAGUUGUCUAAGGGGCACGGAUAGCUCCUUGGCUCAAAUGUGGAGGAGGAAGCAAUAUGAUGACAGUUACAUAUUUUAAUAGAUUCCCAAGGAAGCUUUACUGGUAAGGUUAUUAUUUACUCACCCUAGC
rnacentral:lncRNA from 1 species